rnacentral:rRNA from 1 species
GGGUCCUACGGGACGCAGCAGUGGGGAAUAUUGGACAAUGGGGGGAACCCUGAUCCAGCGACGCCGCGUGAGUGAAGAAGUAUUUCGGUAUGUAAAGCUCUAUCAGCAGGGAAGAAAGAAAUGACGGUACCUGACUAAGAAGCCCCGGCUAACUACGUGCCAGCAGCCGCGGUAAUACGUAGGGGGCAAGCGUUAUCCGGAUUUACUGGGUGCAAAGGGAGCGUAGGCGGCGAUGCAAGUCUGAAGUGACAGGCGGGGGCCCAACCCCCGGACUGCUUUGGACACUGUAUGGCUGGAGUGCAGGG